UGCGAUGAUGAUUUUCUAUAUAAUCUCGUUAAUCCGAUUGUUUAAUGAGGAUAAACUUAUUCAUUCAUUCUUUCUGAGC